UACGGAGGGUGCAAGCGUUAAUCGGAAUUACUGGGCGUAAAGGGUGCGUAGGUGGUCUGAUAAGUUAUCUGUGAAAUCCCUGGGCUUAACCUGGGCAGGUCAGAUAAUACUGUUGGACUCGAGUAUGGGAGAGGGUAGUGGAAUUUCCGGUGUAGCGGUGAAAUGCGUAGAGAUCGGAAGGAACACCAGUGGCGAAGGCGGCUACCUGGCCUAAUACUGACACUGAGGCACGAAAGCGUGGGGAG
rnacentral:rRNA from 1 species